UACGGAGGGUGCAAGCGUUAUCCGGAUUCACUGGGUUUAAAGGGUGCGUAGGUGGGCAGGUAAGUCAGUGGUGAAAUCUCCGGGCUUAACUCGGAAACUGCCAUUGAUACUAUCUGUCUUGAAUACCGUGGAGGUUAGCGGAAUAUGUCAUGUAGCGGUGAAAUGCUUAGAUAUGACAUAGAACACCAAUUGCGAAGGCAGCUGGCUACACGAAUAUUGACACUAAUGCACGAAAGCGUGGGGAUCAAACAGG
rnacentral:rRNA from 1 species